rnacentral:rRNA from 1 species
AUUGAACGCUGGCGGCAGGCUUAACACAUGCAAGUCGAGCGCGCGGCGGACGGGUGAGUAAUGUCGGGGAAACUGCCUGAUGGAGGGGGAUAUCUACUGGAAACGGUCGCUAAUACCGCAUCCCAUCAGAUGUGCCCAGAUGGGAUGAGCGAGUUGGUGGGGUAAUGGCUCACCUAGGCGACGAUCCCUAGCUGGUCUGAGAGGAUGACCAGCCACACUGGAACUGAGACACGGUCAAGACGCCUACGGGAGGCAGCAGUGGGGAAUAGUGCACAAUGGGCGCAAGCCUGAUGCAGCCAUGCCGCGUGUGUGAAGAAGGCCUUCGGGUUGUAAAGCACUUUCAGCGAGGAGGCGUUACUCGCAGAAGAAGCACCGGCUAACUCCGUGCCAGCAGCCGCGGUAAUAC